UACAGAGGAGCCAAGCGUUGUCCGGAUUGACUGGGCGUAAAGCGCACGCAGGCGGCACCGCGCGUGGGGUGUGAAAUCUGGCCGCUUAACGGCCAGGCGCCAUCCCAUACGGCGGAGCUGGAGUGAUGCAGAGGUCGAUGGAAUUGCCGGUGUAGUGGUGAAAUGCGUAGAGAUCAGGCGGAACACCGGUGGCGAAGGCGGUCUGCUGGGGUAAUGCUGACACUGAUGCGCGACAGCGUGGGGAGCAAACAGG
rnacentral:rRNA from 1 species